rnacentral:rRNA from 1 species
ACGCACGCUGGCGGCAGGCUUAACACCUGCAAGUCGAACGCCCCGCAAGGGGAGUGGCCGACGGGUGAGUAACGCGUGGGAACAUACCCUUUCCUGCGGAAUAGCUCCGGGAAACUGGAAUUAAUACCGCAUACGCCCUACGGGGGAAAGAUUUAUCGGGGAAGGAUUGGCCCGCGUUGGAUUAGCUAGUUGGUGGGGUAAAGGCCUACCAAGGCGACGAUCCAUAGCUGGUCUGAGAGGAUGAUCAGCCACAUUGGGACUGAGACACGGCCCAAACUCCUACGGGAGGCAGCAGUGGGGAAUAUUGGACAAUGGGCGCAAGCCUGAUCCAGCCAUGCCGCGUGAGUGAUGAAGGCCUUAGGGUUGUAAAGCUCUUUCACCGAUGAAGAUAAUGACGGUAGUCGGAGAAGAAGCCCCGGCUAACUUCGUG